GUCUGCCCGAGGUGUCCGUGUUGGAUGGCGGGCGGGAGCUCACCUUUGACUCGUUCUGCAUUUUUUGCAAGAAAGCGUACUUACGACCAACCGAACUGGUUUGGAGUCGGGCUGGCUUUCACCACCAGUGCUGCCCUGUGGGCUUUUCUUUUCAAGCAGCAUAAUGAAGAUGUAAUGGAAUAUGAAAGAAGAAAACAAGAGAGGCACCAUAAGUGUACAGGUUGUUCAUAGUUGACCAAAUGUUUGAUGAGAAAUACCGUCCUGUGAAUUAAGGAGUACGGCGGACCUAUCUGAAAGUAUUUAAACCUUAUCUGUUCAUACAUUUCACAUGCAAGCCUAUGAAAUAAAGUGUGAAAGAAGCUUCUGAAGACUUCUCUUGCCGUUUGUAUUUUAUCCCACCGGCUUUCGUAAAUUGUUUUCUGAUUGCAUUUACGUAUUUCAUAGUUCUGAAAGUAAUGUUGAUAAAGUGCACGGUUUUCUGGAAUGUGUAUUACAAAGUCGAGCAUCAGUUAAGAGACAGCCCAGGAGGCAGCUGGAAAGGAGCU
rnacentral:lncRNA from 1 species